rnacentral:rRNA from 1 species
UACAUAGGGGGCAAGCGUUAUCCGGAAUUAUUGGGCGUAAAGGGUGCGUAGGCGGCCGUUUAAGUCUUUGGUAUAAGUGCAGUGCUUAACGCUGUGAUGCUAAGGAAACUGAAUGGCUUGAGUGAGAUAGAGGCAAGUGGAAUUCCAUGUGUAGCGGUAAAAUGCGUAAAUAUAUGGAGGAACACCAGUGGCGAAGGCGGCUUGCUGGGUCUACACUGACGCUGAGGCACGAAAGCGUGGGGAGCAAACAGU